UACCGGAUACGAGACGGAGAGGCAUCUCUACCGUCUGGAAAGUUUUUCGGUCUGGGAUGGACUCGCGGCCUAUCAGCUAGUUGGUGAGGUAAUGGCUCACCAAGGCGACGACGGGUAGCCGGCCUGAGAGGGCGACCGGCCACACUGGGACUGAGACACGGCCCAGACUCCUACGGGAGGCAGCAGUGGGGAAUAUUGCACAAUGGGCGAAAGCCUGAUGCAGCGACGCCGCGUGAGGGAUGACGGCCUUCGGGUUGUAAACCUCUUUCAGCAGGGAAGAAGCGAAAGUGACGGUACCUGCAGAAGAAGCACCGGCUAACUACGUGCCAGCAGCCGCGGUAAUACGUAGGGUGCGAGCGUUGUCCGGAAUUAUUGGGCGUAAAGAGCUUGUAGGCGGUUUGUCGCGUCUGCAGUGAAAAUCCGAGGCUCAACCUCGGACUUGCUGUGGGUACGGGCAGACUAGAGUAUGGUAGGGGAGACCGGAAUUCCUGGUGUAGCGGUGGAAUGCGCAGAUAUCA
rnacentral:rRNA from 1 species